rnacentral:rRNA from 1 species
AGUUUGAUUCUGGCUCAGAUUGAACGCUGGCGGGAUGCUUUACACAUGCAAGUCGAACGGCAGCACGGACUUCGGUCUGGUGGCGAGUGGCGAACAGGUGAGUAAUGUAUCGGAACGUGCCUAGUAGCGGGGAUAACUGCGCGAAAGCGUAGCUAAUACCACAUACGCCCUUCGAGGAAAGCGAAGCCUUCGGGCCUCGCACUAUUAGAGCGGCCGAUAUCGGAUUAGCUAGUUGGUGGGGAGGUAACGGCUCACCGACGGCGAUCCGUGGCGCUGGUUUGAGAGGACGACCAGCCACACUGGGACUGAGACACGGCCAGACUCCUACGGGAGGCAGCAGUGGGAAUUUUGGACAAUGGGGAAACCUGAUCCAGCCAUCCCGCGUGUGCGAUGAGGCCUUCGGGUUGUCAAAGCACUUUUGGCAGGAAAAGAAACGGCACGGGAUAAUACCCCGUGCAACUGACGGUACCUGCAGGAAUGGCGCAGCCGCUACGUACCGGCAGCCGCGGUAAUACGUAGGGUGCAAGCGUUAAUCAGAUUACUGGGCGUAAAGCGUGCGCAGGCGGUUCGGAAAGAAGAAUCUUGAAAUCCAGAAAGCUUAACUGGAACUGCAUUUUAACUACCAGCUAGAGUGUGUCAGGAGGUGGAAUUCCCUUGAUGUGCCGGUGAAAUGCGUAGAUAUGCGGAGAGAACACCGAUAGCGAAGGCGGCCUCCUGGAUAACACUGACGCUCAUGCACAAAACGUGGGGAGCAAACAGGAUUAGAUACCCUGGUAGUCCGCCCUAAACGAUGUCAACUAGCUGUUGGGGCCUUCCGGGCCUUGGUAGCGCAGCUAACGCGUGAAGUUGACCACAUACAGGGUGCAGUGCAAGAUUAAACUCAAAGGAAUUGACGGGGACCCGCACAAGCGGUGGAUGAUGGAUUAAUUCGAUGCAACGCAGAAAACCUUACCUACCCUUGACAUGUCUGGAAUCCCGAAGAGAUUUGAGGUGCUCGCAAGAGAACCGGAACACAGGUGCUGCAUGGCUGUCGUCAGCUCGUGUCGUGAGAUGUUGGGUUAAGUCCCGCAACGAAGCGCAACCCUUGUCAUUAGUUGCUACGAAAGGGCACUCUCGUGAGCUGCCGGUGACAAACCGGAGGAAGGUGGGGAUGACGUCAGGUCCUCAUGGCCCUUAUAGGUAGGGCUUCACACGUCAUACAAUGGUCAGGACGGAGGGUCGCCAGCCCGCGAGGGGAGCCAAUCCCAGAAACCCGAUCGUAGUCCCGGAUCGCAGUCUGCAACUCGACUGCACGUGGAAGUCGAUCGCUGGUAAUCGCGGAUCAGCAUGUCGCGGUGGCGAAUACGUUCCCGGUCUUGUACACACCACCCGUCACACCAUGGGAGUGGGUUUACCGAAAUAGUUAGCCUAACCGUAAGGAGGGCGAUUACCACGGUAGGAUUCAUGACUGGGGUGAAGUCAUGGCUCAGGUA